ensembl:lncRNA
UAUUGCUCCAAGAGUCUUUUUUGUAGGUACUGAUGCUUUACAUAUGUGUGCCAAUUUUCGUGCAUGUACGUGAAACACAGCUCGAGGGCUGUUGAUUUUUUUACGAUAGGUGGCGCUGUCGAGCCAUUUUGCCACACCCUCUUCUGAAACCUAUAUCAGACGUAAAUUUUCACCAGGUCUGACGCGUGUGCAAAGUUUCAGGACUUUUCGAGCAUGUUUAGGCCCUCAAAAAUGCGAUUCAUUUUGGAGAAGAAGAAGAAGAAGAAGAAGAAGAAGAAGAAGAAGAAGAAGAAGAAGAAGAAUAAUUAAAGCUGCAAGCAGCGAUGAACGGGCCCUCGCACCUGGGCUCACCACCUCGGGGUGGCUUUUGUAAAACAGCGAACGGC